GCAAGACACUUCAUUUCACAUUGUUCCAGUUCACUCAGUGGAAAUGGUAUCGUCUUACUUGGUAAGGUUAUCUCAAUAGAUUUCUCUAUAGAAAUAAUAACCAACACUGAUUUUUGUUAUGACAUUUUGUAUCCGAGACGCCAGAUGUAGAAAUGUUUAAUUCAUAAUAAAAUCCAUGCUGGUUAAAAUCUCUAUAGAAAAUCUGUAGAAAUAGCCUUGACAAAAAUGAUGUUAUAGCACUGCUAACACAGUAGAACACAGUAUUGGCUUACAAAAUACAUUUAAUAUUCUCUGUAGUAUAUCGUGGUUGCAUAACAAAGUAUGGUGUCCCAACA